AUUGAACGCUGGCGGCAUGCCUUACACAUGCAAGUCGAACGGUAGAGUAGCAAUACUCGAGAGUGGCGAACGGGUGAGUAAUAUAUCGGAACGUGCCCAAUCGUGGGGGAUAACGUAGAGAAAUUUACGCUAAUACCGCAUACGAUCUAAGGAUGAAAGCGGGGGAUCGCAAGACCUCGCGCGAAUUGGAGCGGCUGAUA
rnacentral:rRNA from 1 species